GCAUUGCGUGACACGUCUGUUAAUGUGACUGACCUCGAUAUGUUGUUCUCGAAUAAUGUGAACCGUAGGCCUGGAGAGCAGUAUGCGAUUGACGCCAUUCAACAACAGUUGUUGUUGGCAGUUCUCGAGUUUGGGUGGCAACUUCGGCGUCGGGACUCGCUCCAUCUCUGUCUAUGGCAAAGUCGCAGCAGCAGCAGCAACAAGAACAAUAAGUAGUAUCUUAGCGGUGUUCUGGGAUAUGGGGCUUCAUGUAUGUGCUUAAAUUGUCAUCCCAGAUUAGCCUGUGCAGACUGCACAUACAUUAAGUCAUAUUAAAUUGUCAUCCCAGAUUAGCCUGUGCAGACUGCACAUACAUUAAGUCCUAUUAAAGUGUCAUCCCAGAUUAGCCUAUGCAGACUGCACAUACAUUAAGCCCUAUUAAAGUGUCAUCCCAGUUUAGUCUGUGCAGACUGCACAUACAUUAAGUCCUAUUAAAUUGUCAUCCCAGAUUAGCCUGUGCAGUUUUUGUACCCCCACUAAACGAAGUUUAGGGGGGUAUAUAAGAGUGAGCUUGUCUUUUGGUCAGUCAGUCUGUCGGUCGGGCAGUCUGUCCGUGUCCGCUCUCUAAUUCAAGUUGUUUUUAUCCAAUCUUGACCAAACUUGGUCAGAAGUUGUAUCUAGAUGAUGUCUAGGUCAAGUUCGAAUAUGGGUCAUGCCGGGUCAAAAACUAGGUCACGGGGUUACAUACUGCGUUUUAAACAUUGAACAUGGUGUCCACUCUCUAACUCAAGUAGUUUUCAUUUUUAUUUGAUCAAUCAUGGUAAAUAAAUAUCAAAUAAAAGUUUAUCUUAUAUCAGAUUUAAUCAUAGGUCAGGGCAUAGUUUUGUCUAUUGUUUGGCUAAAUUUUUGCCUUACCCAAAGUUUCUCCUUGCAAUAAAAAAUCCGCUUUAAUUUAAUAGAACUAUUAAAUUUUAUUCAAUUUUCAUAAAACAAUUAUUUAAAUGUCUUUAGCACAUUAUGCAAGUAUUCUCUUCAUUUAUUUUCAAUAUUUAUUGAAAUUCCAGGAUUUUGUUUUAAAAGCCGGUUCCUACAUUACCCCAUGCAAUCAUAGAUCGAUAACCAGCUGAACAACAGGCUGUCUGGUCAGCUGGGCCCAGACUUCCAGUGACACUUCCUGGGCAUGGGGAUGAUUGACUCUUGAUCCAGGAUCUUAGGGCAAGAGCUCUCGUGUUUGGGUUAUAUAUUGAUAGGGCAUAGUUUUGUCUAUUUGUCUGCUUAAAUUCAGCCCCUAAACCAAAUGUUUCUGCUUGCAUAAAAAUCCGUUUAAUAGAAUUGUUAACUAUUAUUUAAUUUGAGUAAUUAUUAAAAUGCCUUCAGCACAUUAUACACGUAUUCUCUUCCAAUUUGCAAUAUUUAUUUAAAUUCAUGGAUUUUGUUUUAAGAGUCGUUUCUUACAGGACUUCAUAAUAGCCGCCUUGUUGUAUUGCCUUGAAAGGGCGCAGGGGGGUUGUAUAGAUUUGCCCUUGUCUGUAAAUCUCUCUGUCCUUCCUUUCAUCCUUUCUUACAUCCGUCCCACUUUUUUAUUGUUGCUCAUAACUAAAUAAAUAUUGGUUUCAGAGGUUUGAAAUAUGUGUGUAUCAAUUGUACAUUUUAUAUAGUAGGUUAUGUUUGUAUCAAGUGUUUAGUGUAUAUCCCAUUUGUAUCAAGAGCCUUUAUUACAGUGUAUUUCAUUUAUUAUUUAAUCAAACAAAAUUGAUCGACUUCCAAUAUAACUGAUACCAUUUCAGAAUGCAUCCAAUUAUUUGGUAUACAGGAACUCAUUUGUGGGACGGUCCUUAUCAUCACAAGGUGAGGCCCAGAGAAUGAUGUUAACCAAUUCCGACUCAGCCACUAAAUCUCAAUAGGUUGAGCAUCCUAGGGUGCCUAGCAAUGAAAUCCUCCACUAUGACCUUGUCCUUACCCCAGCACUCACCUGGUGGUCAGGUUGGAGGUCACAUCGGCCUGGUUGGUCAUGGCAAAAUCUGGAUAGCAGAGCGUUGAGUUUGGUCUGGAAGCAUUUGCUGUCACAGCUCCAUGGUGCAGGACCAUCAGUCUAAGAACAUCUUGCAGAGUGAUCCUUUGGUG